CAGCAGCAGGUCCAGUGUGACUCCUCCAGAGUGUCUGUCAGUCAGAGAGGGAAAACAGUGCUCUGUUACAGGGCUCGGCGCUCCAGACAACACUUUAUAAUGAUUGCUAUUUGGGAGUUCGCUUAUUAAAGGUUGCAGAGGAUUAUGCAGACACAGUGCUGACGGGCGGAGGGACAGGCCGAAGAGCGUCGGACCCAUGACAGAUCUCUCGUGUCCCGAGGUGGAGCGCGGCUCUCCUGUACAGAUGCAGAGCCUGCGGGAGUUUGAACAGCACCAGCGGUCUAGCUCCACUGCCGUCUGCCGCAGGAGAGACAGGGGUCUGUCUCCACUGCCGUCCGCCGCAGGAGAGACAGGGGUCUGUCUCCACUGCCGUCUGCCGCAGGAGAGACAGGGGUCUGUCUCCACUGCCGUCCGCAGGAGAGACAGGGGUCCAUCUCCACUGCCGUCCGCCGCAGGAGAGACGGGGGGAUUUUAGAACUCUUUGAACUUCUAUUCACUGGAAUAUUUUUUACUAAAACAGAGCAAUUAGAAUUACUAUUUUUUACAGUCUAUUUUGGACAUAUUUUAAAUAGUAAAAACAACAAACAAAUAUAAAUGUAUAUGUAGCUUCAUGGGCAAUUAUUGUGUAUAUAUUAUUAUUUUUAUACAUUUUGGAAAAUAAAUAUAAGCAAAACCUUUAAUGUUAAUUAUUUCAUGAUCAGAUGUCAUGAAUUCUGAGUGAUAUUGUUGAGAAUAAUUUUAAUUAUUAUUAUAUUAGCUUUUAAACACAAAGACCUGAGGUGUAGAUGUUUGGACAAUCGGGAUCUUCCACUGUCAUUCCUCUCCUCGUUUAAAGCUGAUAAUGAUACCUAACAUUGAAUAAUGCUAUUGUAUUGUGUUAGGCUAAUAUUAAUUUUGGAAUAUGUCACAGAUAACUCCAGCUUGUACCGCCUGCAUAGAAAUAAAUCCAAUUACAUAACCAUUACAAAUGUCAGAAAAUAAAUCUUCUAGUUGAUUUGAUUUCCACACACUGACGACACUGCUAUUUCUGAUUGCUGUCGUGAAUGUUUAAUCCUCUUUAUGGUUCUUGUGGUGUAAGAAGCCAUGAAUCAGGGCUGGAAAACUAAAAAUAAAUGUCAUACUGACUCAGAAAUGUUACACAUCAUCCUUAAAUGCAUGUACAAUUAUGUGCUUAUUUUUAUUGCAUCAAAG
ensembl:lncRNA